rnacentral:tRNA from 1 species
GGGCGAUUGGCUCAGUUGGUUAGAGCGCUACAUUCACAUUGUAGAUGUCAGAGGUUCGAGUCCUCUAUCGCCCA